AAUAGGAACCUUCCAGAAAAGCUGAAAACUCAGGCCGUCAUCUCCAGUAUGUAAGCUUUGAAGCUUCUUGGGGGCCAAGAAUAUCAGAUAAAAUUCUGUAUGUUGCCUGCUGUAUAAGAGAAUUCUUGUAUGGCCAAUUAUGCAGCAUUUGCAGCCACUCAUAAAAGACCCAUCUCUCUCUUUCUCUAUCGAGAGACCAGCCAUGGAGCUGCUGCUGGGGGGACCAACUUUGGAAAUUCUUUAGCCAUUUCACGCAUUCAAACUUCUUUUUGAGGAUCAUUGUGCUUUGUCUCUACUAAAAGAAAUGGUUAGAUUUUCCCAACCAUUAUCUUGGGAUUGUUCUCAGUUUUAGUUUUAAAUCAGUUGAUUAUUUCUGCUUAAUAUUGGAUUGAAAAUUUGAUUGAUGUGUCAUUUAUGAAGGGGUGGAGCUAAA